rnacentral:rRNA from 1 species
UACGGGGGGGGCAAGCGUUGUUCGGAAUUACUGGGCGUAAAGGGCGCGUAGGCGGCCUGCUAAGUCGGAUGUGAAAUCCCUCGGCUCAACCGAGGAACUGCAUCCGAUACUGGCGGGCUUGAAUCCGGGAGAGGGAUGUGGAAUUCCAGGUGUAGCGGUGAAAUGCGUAGAUAUCUGGAGGAAUACCGGUGGCGAAGGCGGCAUCCUGGACCGACAUUGACGCUGAUGAGCGAAAGCUAGGGGAGCAAACGGG